UUAAGAUCAUGAGAAGAGGAACAUGUGGUGGCUUUUUCUGGGUUUGCCUAAUUUUUUGCUCUGUAUGAUAUAUGUCUUGCUUGGUUAUAAGUUAUUAACGCUUCAAAAGCAAGCAGAUGCAAUUUCCUAUGCAACAACUACUCUUACUAUUUUGUUUCGACCAUCAAAUAAAUAAAAAUGCAAUAAACAAGUGCGUUAGAGAGGAGUAAUAUAAUUGGUUCACUUUGUUGGGU